UACGUAGGGUGCAAGCGUUAAUCGGAAUUACUGGGCGUAAAGCGUGCGCAGGCGGUUUUGUAAGUCUGACGUGAAAUCCCCGGGCUCAAGCUGGGAAUUGCGUUGGAGACUGCAAGGCUAGAAUCUGGCAGAGGGGGGUAGAAUUCCACGUGUAGCAGUGAAAUGCGUAGAGAUGUGGAGGAACACCGAUGGCGAAGGCAGCCCCCUGGGUCAAGAUUGACGCUCAUGCACGAAAGCGUGGGGAGCAAACAGG
rnacentral:rRNA from 1 species